GGCGCCGCCAGGCCCGUGGAGAGCAACUCGGGCCGCGCACAUCCAGUUCCCCCGUUUCUUUAUUCGCACCGCCGGCCCUGCGCGAGUCCCGCAGCAGUUACUGGGUCACAGUGACUAACUCCAGGGCCUGGAGGAACCUGCGGGCUGGCCUCGGAGAGGCCCCUGGAGCUUGCGGGGGCCCAGCAAUUCCAGCGCGGUAGCACCCCCGUAAAGCGGGCCCGGGCUUCCCUGCGCGCUUGGCACAUGAGUCAGGCGAAAAUCUCCCCCUUUUCCAGCUUCCUAGCGGGCGGGAAAACCUUCAGGCUGCCCUGGGCCCUCCCUUUGUGACAUUUCCCCGCUCCCAAACUUCCUGCCUACGGGCUGACCCCGCUGACGGCGGGGGAGAGAGAUUAGGGGGCGAGGUGGGACUGGUCAUAUCUUGUAUUGGAUCAACGUCUGUUCAUUGCAGCAUGGUGCUGAAUCUGCCGCUGACCAGCUCAUCAAACCCAGCGUUGUUCUAGCAUACAAAAGUCAGCACCGGCCAGCUCUUUAAAAAGAGCGUUUGAUUCGCAAGAUCCUUUACAAACAUCAACAGUAACUUGAAGCUGUCUGUGCGAGAGAGAAAAGGCUGUAAAAAACUGGCCUGAGAGAAUAAAGUCUGGAAUAAAAUGGGUUAAACAUUGCAUCAGCCACGAAGCCAUCUUGGGGCUGCAGUGGAAUACAAACAACUCUGGUUCCAUCAUGCUUCCUAGCACAGCAGCAUAACUGAAUCUGAAAUAAGGUGCUAAGCCAAUAGCCCAAUAUUUUGUUAACCCUUGCAAUCUCAUCUUCUUCUGAUAUAACAAAUUAAGAACUGCACCUCUGUUGAGCAUCUCACGUUCAGGACAGCGACAGGAGUGAGCAAAGGCUUGCAGGAAUUGAAAAGCAGUGUGCGCUUGCCCACCAGCCUAUUAAAACACUAAAUUAAAAAUAGACUAGAGAUCUAAAUAAUUAAUCUUAAUUCAGAACCAAGCAAAUAGUGACAAAGUAAAGACAUAGGCCAACUUCAGCCCUGGUUUAGCUCCAUUGAUUUUAGAGAUUAAUUUGGCCUAGGGUUAUUUUUUUGUAGUUUGGUUCCAGAUGAAGACUACAGUCACGAUAACAAAUGGCCUACUGCGUCCAAGAAGAAAUCUGGAAGAUUUCUACAAGUGGAAGAAAUCUGGAAGUUACAAAAAUAAUGCACUUUAGUUGUUUCCUCUAAUUUGGACUGAAAUAAUUGUGAGAGAGGGGAGCAGGUUCUUGCUGAGGUGAUGUGAGAAGCUAAAAUAUGAGACUGCCAUGAUGGGAUGGGCCCUUUAACUCUUGGAUAAACCUUGAAAGAUAGGAGUAAAAACUAAGACUCCAUGGACAUGUUAGGCAGAACUCACUGCUUUUUGAUGGUGCUGGAAACAGAAGCAGAAAUGUGUUUCAAUUCCCUUCAAUGAUGAGUGGUGUUUUUUUCCUCAUUAUUCCAUUUUUUCCUGUCUCUUCACGUUACUCUCUUUUCUUUGUUUCUCCAUACCUUUAUUUCCUUUUUUUCUGCAUUCCUGUUUUCCUCUAUUCAUAUUUUGUCUCUUUUCCAUAACCUCUGUGUACUAGACUCCUCUAUUGUUACCAUUGGUGUACCUCCACUGGUGACAGCAAUAAUGAAGUUCAUGUUUUAAAAGUCUCACUGAAAUGGCAAAAAUUAAAACAGAAUAUAACCUUUCCACGCUCUUUGAAUUUUUCAUGAUAUUUGAUGAAAAAUGAAUUGAUACAAAGAAUGUUUAAGAAUCAAUCCUGGCAAUUUUUCAUUUGAUUUCCCAUUUUUUUAUUCAUUCUGCAAGAAAUCUAAAACCCUCUGCACUUGUCCUUUAUCCACAUUGCUACUCCCUGUGUGGAUUUCUGGGACGGUUCAACCCUCACAUCCACAAUGGACUGUGUCUCACCAUGACUCAGCAAGUAUGUUUCUAGCACAAGAAAUUGAAUUAUAAAGAGGGGAGGAAAACACUUGACUUCACUCCUCUUUCCUCCUCCCAUCUCCUGCUCAUGUCAUCAAUGAAUACCUGAAUGGCUCAACUAAGGGGGAGGGGUCUCAGGCUGACAGGAGACCCAGCUUGUGAAAUUUACAACAGCAUGUGCGGAGACCAAACCUCUUGCUUUUACGUUCACGUAGCUUGUUAAACAUAGAUCAAAGGAUGCAAGACCUCAGACUCCCAUAAUAUAGGUUACUGAGACAAGGAUUGCGAUUCCUGGAAACUUGAUUAAUAUUUGCAGGAUUGAGAAAUCCCAAACGUUACUCUGACCAACAGAGACUCCACUGGCCAGACAGACAGCUGCCCAGCAAAGUUCAGCUUGGGUAUGUAUCCAGUAUGGUUUCAAGUCUCAUUUUUUGGUUUGGGAUGGUUGAAUCAUUUUGGAGAUUUCAGGGAAGUUCAGCCAAGCACCUGUGAGGGAGUCUUACCUGGAUUACCAUGAGACUGUGCUCACUGCCUCAAUUUCCCCUUGCUGGUAGCCCCUUCAGCUAAACCAGAAACUCCUCCCUCUCUUGGGUAACAAAAUUUCAAGGACAAACAUGUGGAAGAGGAGCCCACAAAACCCCAGUCUCUGGAGGGUCCAUAGGCUUUUGGUUUCUCAGUCCAGGGGAGUGGAGAAGAGCUUCUCUCCCCCCUGUGCUGAAGUUGUGGCCCUGAAGGAAGCAAGCAAUUGCCUGCACCAGUUGUUCAAGUCACCCUGUUCAGGGGCUCCCCAUGCCAACAGUUUCAAAAUGACUCCCUUUCCAGCCUUCCAUUCUCUAGCUGUCUCUCAGUGCAGGUCAAGAUGGAGAGAUCAUUCCUUCCCCAAAUGCCUGGACUGCAGGCAGAGAGCUUAUAUACAGCUGGCUUCCUUCCCAGCAUUCCUGGACAGUCUCCAACUCUCAUGGCCCUUCUGGGCCACAAGUCCCAGAAUCCAUCUGUUCUUAGUUUCUACCCAGAACAGGGCAGAGCUGUUCCUGCAACCUGUCUUAAAGGGGCAACAUGCCCUAAGACAGGGUGUCACACCCCCAGUCCUUACUCUGGGACUCAGAUCUGCAUAUCCCCUAGUAUUCUGCCUGCGUUUCAGAAUGCCUCUCCAAUACCUCCUCCUGUUGUCCCACUGCUAUCUCCAAUUCAGGAUCUCAGCAGAUGAGCUUACCUUUCCUCCAGAAAUUCUCUCUUCCCUCCUGCUUCUCACUACCAAACCCACCAUUGUCCAUGACCCUGAGAUUUGCAACCUUGUCGUUCCUUCUGCUCUUCUUUAUCGUUCCCCUCCAAAUCCUCUCUUCCUACGUUGGUGCUAACAUCCUCCCUUUCCUCCAUCCCAACUGCUAACCCUUCGUCUCUCUUCUUGUUUAUUGUAACCCCCUCCUCUCAACUCUCCCCACUCCAGUCUAUCGAAAUCUUGCAGCAAUUACUGCUCUUUGCACUCCAGUAGUGCCUAGAAGGUCUAGUUCCCAUGCCAGGCACUAGAGAAACAACUUUAAAAUAAACCUCUUUGCUGCCACUCGAAACACCCCACCAUCCUCAAGUACUUCUUGUCCCCUUACGCCAUGUGCAAGCACCUCAUCCCCCAAACUCUGACCCGCUCCAACCUGCUUACAUCUCACCUGGUUUUCUUCCAGUCCUACUUCACGCACAGCGCUUUGCCCCUCUCCCCUUUUCCCCAUUCGUGGAUUAGGGCCUUUCAUGUUGCCCUCUGUAUCUUGGAAAAGGCAGCCAAUCAC